UCUGGGCUACCUUUUUUUUAACUUUCACUAUAUUGUUCAAGCUGGUCUUGAACUCCUGAGCUCAAGUGAUCCUCCUGCCUUGGCCUUACAGGUGUGAGUCUCCAUGCCCGGCAGAAGGGAGAUAUUUCUAAGGAAAUAUGCUGACAAUCUAGCUAACACUUAGUGAGAAUUUACUAAUUCGUAUGCAGUCUGCUAAGUGUUUUUCAAGCAUAUUUAAUUCUCACAACAUCCCUAUGAGGUAGGUACUGUUCUUACUCCGUUAUACAGAUGAGGAAACUGUGGCACAAAGAGGUUAACUUUCCCAAGGUCACACAGUUGGUAAAUGAUGGAGUCCUGCAGGCUGAAUUACUAUAUUAUCCUACCUCCUAAUUAUUAAGGACCUAGGGUUGUUGGUCCAAUAAAGGUGAAGAAUGAAGAUGUGACAUUCUUUUGCUUUCAGGAUAGUGUGACAUAGGAUAUGAUACCUACCUAGGGUUGCAGCAGAUUAUUUAUUUUUAUUUUUAGCCACAUGAGGGAGGCCAGUUAGAAGACAAAACCAUCACAUAGAGGAGGGCAAGACAAAAAAUAUUAUAGAAUAAAAUGAGUCAGAGACUUGAUCCAGCCAUUCCUGAAGUUUGACCCACCUCUCGACUUUAACAUGAACAUUUUUAUAGUAAUCCGAGUUGUGAUUUUUAUAAUUGGCAGCCAUUAUUUCCUAACUAGAACAUGAGUAGAGUCCCAACAGGUGGAGCUAAUAAAUAAUAAAGUGUCAAGGUUGGAAGAAUAUAA